UGCCAGCAGCCGCGGUAAGACGGAGGGUGCAAACGUUGUUCGGAAUUAUUGGGCAUAAAGCGCACGUAGGCGGUUCGUUAAGUCAGUUGUGAAAUCCCUCGACUCAACCGAGGAACUGCAGUUGAUACUGGCGAACUUGAGAACGGUAGGGGUGAGUGGAACUCCAGGUGGAGCGGUGAAAUGCGUAGAUAUCUGGAGGAACACCGGUGGCGAAAGCGGCUCACUGGACCGUAACUGACGCUGAGGUGCGAAAGCUAGGGUAGCAAACGGGAUUAGAUA
rnacentral:rRNA from 1 species